UGGGGAAUAUUGCACAAUGGGCGCAAGCCUGAUGCAGCCAUGCCGCGUGUGUGAAGAAGGCCUUCGGGUUGUAAAGCACUUUCAGCGGGGAGGAAGGCGUUAAGGUUAAUAACCUUGGCGAUUGACGUUACCCGCAGAAGAAGCACCGGCUAACUCCGUGCCAGCAGCCGCGGUAAUACGGAGGGUGCAAGCGUUAAUCGGAAUUACUGGGCGUAAAGCGCACGCAGGCGGUUGAUUGAGUCAGAUGUGAAAUCCCCGGGCUUAACCGGGGAAUUGCAUCUGAUACUGGUCAGCUAGAGUCUUGUAGAGGGGGGUAGAAUUCCAUGUGUAGCGGUGAAAUGCGUAGAGAUGUGGAGGAAUACCGGUAGCGAAGGCGGCCCCCUGGACAAAGACUGACGCUCAGGUGCGAAAGAGUGGGGAGCAAACAGG
rnacentral:rRNA from 1 species